ensembl:lncRNA
GCUCGGGAUGCUUCUCCUCUGACCACUUUGCCUUACAUUAUCAUCUGAAGGUGUGGAUAUCAAUCUGUCUUGAAAAGAUGCUUGCUAACAAGAGGCUAUAAGGGACUACAAAGUUUUUGGAGGACAUUAAACAUCAUCACGCCGAACAGCUCCAGAUCAACAUACACGAAUGCAAAUGAGAGAGAACCAGCGGGGAACAUAGAUCACAGCCGCCGUGUGCAUGUGUGUGCGUCACAGGAGAGAUGGAGGCUGGAGUACUAAUCACUGGAACGCAGACAGUUAACAGCCCGAGAUCC